ACCCACACCCCUAGUUGCCAGCAGUUCGGCUGGGCACUCUAUGGGAACUGCCCGUGAUAAGCGGGAGGAAGGUGUGGAUGACGUCAAGUCUUCAUGGCCCUUACGGGUUGGGCUACACACGUGCUACAAUGGCAAGUACAGUGGGUUAAUCCCCAAAACUUGUCUCAGUUCGGAUUGGGGUCUGCAACUCGACCCCAUGAAGUCGGAAUCGCUAGUAAUCGCGGAACAGCAUGCCGCGGUGAAUACGUUCCCGGGCCUUGUACACACCGCCCGU
rnacentral:rRNA from 1 species